CGGCGGACGGGUGAGUAACGCGUGGGUAACCUGCCUCAUACAGGGGGAUAACAGUUGGAAACGACUGCUAAUACCGCAUAAGCGCACAGUACCGCAUGGUGCAGUGUGAAAAACUCCGGUGGUAUGAGAUGGACCCGCGUCUGAUUAGCUAGUUGGUGGGGUAACGGCCUACCAAGGCGACGAUCAGUAGCCGACCUGAGAGGGUGACCGGCCACAUUGGGACUGAGACACGGCCCAA
rnacentral:rRNA from 1 species